rnacentral:rRNA from 1 species
GACAGAGGGUGCAAACGUUGUUCGGAAUUACUGGGCGUAAAGCGUGUGUAGGCUGCUCCGAUAGUCGGAUGUGAAAGCCCUGGGCUCAACCUAGGAAGUGCAUUCGAUACUCCGGAGCUUGAGUCCUGGAGAGGAAGGCGGAAUUCUCGGUGUAGAGGUGAAAUUCGUAGAUAUCGAGAGGAACACCGGUGGCGAAGGCGGCCUUCUGGACAGUGACUGACGCUGAGACACGAAAGGCGUGGGGAGCAAACAGG